GAGGCUGGAGCUCAAUGGUAGAGCACUUGCCUAUCAUGUAUGAAGUCCUGGUUUCAAUCCCCAGCACCACA
rnacentral:tRNA from 1 species